AUGAUUUUCAACAUGAAGAAAAGAUUUUUCAACAAUGUCGACUUAUUCAGAACCAGAGAUUGAGAACAAUUAAGCAUGUGCAUGAACAGUUCUUAAAGAAUCUGGAAGAUUUGGAGAAGAAGAAUGAUAUGCAGUUUCUGAGUACCCAGAAUGAACUUAAGGAAGAAAUGAAUAAGCUGCGUAGAAAAAUUAUGAAAGAAUCUCAGCAGCAAGAGAUGGUUAAUGUUCGCCAAUCUCUUCAGUCCAUGCUCUUUUGAAGGAAGAAUAUUUGCAGAAGGAACUUAAACCUAAAUGAUACAAUUCAAAUGCCAGCUUUCAG
rnacentral:lncRNA from 1 species